rnacentral:rRNA from 1 species
AGUGAACGCUGGCGGUAGGCCUAACACAUGCAAGUCGAACGGCAGCACAGUAAGAGCUUGCUCUUACGGGUGGCGAGUGGCGGACGGGUGAGGAAUACAUCGGAAUCUACUUUUUCGUGGGGGAUAACGUAGGGAAACUUACGCUAAUACCGCAUACGACCUACGGGUGAAAGCAGGGGAUCUUCGGACCUUGCGGGAGUGAAUGAGCCGAUGGCGGAUUAGCUAGUUGGCGGGGUAAAGGCCCACCAAGGCGACGAUCCGUAGCCGGACUGAGAGGAUGAACGGCCACAUGGGGACUGAGAGACGGCCCAGAAUCCUAAGGGAGGCAGCAGUGGGGAAUAUGGCACAAUGGGCGGAAGCCGGAUGCAGCAACGCCGCGUGCGGGAUGACGGCCUUCGGGUUGUAAACCGCUGUCGCCGGUGACGAAGCGUGAGUGACGGUAAUGGGUAAAGAAGCACGGGCUAACUACGUG